rnacentral:rRNA from 1 species
GAUGAACGCUGGCGGCGUGCCUCAUACAUGCAAGUCGAGCGAGCGGCGGGCGGGUGAGAAAUGUCUGGGAAACUGCCUGAUGGAGGGGGAUAACAACUGGAAACGGUAGCUAAUAUCGCAUACCAUCAGAUAUGCCCACAUGGGAUUAGCUCGUCGGUGGGGGAACGGCUCACCUAGGCGACGCUCCCUAGCUGUCCUGAGAGGAUGACCAGCCACACUGGAACUGAUACACGGUCCAGACUCCUACGAGAGUCAGCAGUGGGGAAUAUUGCACAAUGGGCGCGAGCCUGAUGCAGCCAUGCCGCGUGUAUGAAGAAGGCCUUCGGGUUGUAAAGUACUUUCAGCGGGGAGGCGUUACCCGCAGAAGAAGCACCGGCUAACUCCGUGCCAGCAGCCGCGGUAAUAC